AGACGAUUAGGUAAUCAAAGAAUCGGUUUCAAAUCUUUAUGCCUUGAAGGAAGUGUACAGAUGUAAUCACAACAUUCAUAGUCGCAUGCAAGAUAGUAAACCAGCAUCAUGUUUGAAGACAGUAUUUUAUAGUCAUGUGGUGAAGGCACUGAUGAGCCACUGAAUGUCCAGAAUCUUAACGGGAAGAAGCACCAGAUGGGUGGAGUUGUCCAAGUCUAUGGCGCUCUCAGGAUACACAAUCCGUGGUGAAGGCACUGAUGAGCCACUGAAUGUCCAGAAUCUUAACGGGAAGAAGGACCAGAUGGGUGGAGUUGUCCAAGUCCAUGGCGCUCUCAGGAUACACAAUCCGAUACGGCAAGCACAUGGAGAUCUUUCAGAUACAAAACCGUAAGAACCGUCGGAGGAAAUCAACAGUGAGUUUUGAAAGUACAGAAGUAACAAGAUGGUAGUGGAGCUCAGGAGUGCCGUCAUGUAGCGCUGAUGUUUCAGU